GGUCAAUGAUGUGUUGGCAUGUAUUACCCGAAUUUACUGCUGAUGUGUAAUCACACUUCAGCUCUAGAAUUUCGCUGGGACCUU
rnacentral:snoRNA from 1 species